AGUGAACGCUGGCGGUAGGCCUAACACAUGCAAGUCGAACGGCAGCACAGUAAGAGCUUGCUCUUACGGGUGGCGAGUGGCGGACGGGUGAGGAAUACAUCGCAAUCUACUUUUUCGUGGGGGAUAACGUAGGGAAACUUACGCUAAUACCGCAUACGACCUACGGUUGAAAGCAGGGGCACUUCGGACCUUGCGCGAUUGAAUGAGCCGAUGUCGCAUUAGCUAGUUGGCGGGGUAAAGGCCCACCAAGGCGACGAUCCGUAGCUGGUCUGAGAGGAUGAUCAGCCACACUGGGACUGAGACACGGUCCAGACUCCUACGGGAGGCAGCAGUGGGGAAUAUUGGACAAUGGGCGCAAGCCUGAUCCAGCCAUGCCGCGUGGGUGAAGAAGGCCUUCGGGUUGUAAAGCCCUGUUGUUGGGAAAGAAAAGCAGCAGGUUAAAACCCCGCUGUUCUGACGGUACCCAAAUAAUAAGCACCGGCUAACUUCGUG
rnacentral:rRNA from 1 species